rfam:Myotis lucifugus cont2.1108, whole genome shotgun sequence.
GCUGUGGUGGCUCAGUGGGUUGAGCAUCGUCCCAUGAACCAAGAGGUCCUGGGUUCGAUUCCCAGUCAGGGCA